rnacentral:rRNA from 1 species
UCAGUAACGCCCGAAGUCAGGUGACCCAACCGAACAGGAGGGAGCUGCCGAAGGUGGGACCGAUAACUGGGGUGAAGUCGUAACAAGGUAAC